rnacentral:lncRNA from 1 species
GUUGGUGCAAGAGGCAGCAACAAGCUGAUUUCAGCUUGCUUAAACAGCAAGUCUCGAGGCUUGCAGCAGAAACAAUCAAGGAAGAAAAAAACUUACAAUGGAAAACAGAAAAGAAAGUGAGAGAUUUGAAUGAAAAUGAGCUGAAUUUUCAUUAACUUUUUUAAGAAGGCAUGAUGCCAAUACAUAUAAGGGAUUACAUUAGCAAAACAAACAAGUUACCACCUAAUAACUUACCUAACACCACUAAUUUGCCUAGUAACUUGGUAAACUUGUUUGAAUACAUAAACAGCUACCUAAACUUGUCAUUCAUCACUUAGUUACAUCAAAAUGCAGCUACCAACUAAGUUUGAUCCUAACUAAAUACAAAACAUUCAUUUAAAGAAACUAAAUGAAUAGCUUCAGCUUGCUGCACCAAUUUGCUGUUGAAGCACGUUCCCUGCAUGGCCACCUUUGCUGCUACAUGGGAGCUGACUUCAACACUCCUCCUCAGCUUCUAUGCAGCAGACUCCUAGUUCCCUCUUUAGGCUUAGAAAUCUUGAUACACCAAGAGACUUUGUGAAGAUAUCAGCAAUCUGAUUUUCAGAGCUGCAAUGAAUCAGCUCAAUUUCUCGAGCUUGUUCCAUCUCCCUUAUCACAUGCAGUUUAAUAUCGAAGUGUUUUGUCCUACCAUGGAAGACAGGAUUUUUGGCAAUAGCAACUGCUGACUUGUUGUCACAAUGUAUCACAGUUGCUUCAUUCUGCUGUAGGUUUAAAUCACUCAAAAUUUUUCUCAGCCACACAGCUUGAUUAACAGCAUUAGCAGCUGCUACAUACUCAGCUUCAGCUGUUGACUGAGCCACCAUUGUUUGUUUUCUUGAGCUCCAACAAAUCAUUGCAGAGCCAAGUGUAAAAGCAUAACCAGAGGUGCUCUUCAUGUCAUCUUUUGAACCAGCCCAAUCGCUGUCUGUAUAGCUAAUCAAUUUCAACUCCUUGACCCUUUUGAAACAUAUACCAUGGUUCAAGGUACCUUUGAUAUACCUCAGAACCCUUUUUCCUGCUUUAUAAUGCUGCUGAUUACAGCAAUGCAUGAAUCGUGACAGCAUGCUCACAGCAAAUAGAAUAUCAGGUCUUGUUGCUGUCAAAUACAACAAACAGCCAAUAAGGCUUCUAUAAUCUGUUUCACAGACAGAUUCAUGUUCCUCUUGGCUCGAUAGCUUCAUGCCAAUAGCCAUUGGUGUGCUCAUUGGUUUACAAUUCUCCAUUGAGAAUUUAGCCAGCACUUUCAAGGCAAAUGUCUUUUGUUUCAAAAGGAUUCCUCCUUCUACUUGAUUGACUUCCAUUCCUAGGAAAUAUGUCAUCAAUCCCAGGUCUGACAUCUCAAACAUUUCCUUCAUUUUUGUUUUGAAAUCAGCCAAUAUAAACUUGUCUCCUCCAGUCACUAGAAGAUCAUCAACAUACAGUGACACAAUAAGCUGUGUUUCAGCUCCAUUCCUCUUAACAUAGAGUGUUGGCUCACUAGCACUCCUUUCAAAUCCCAAACUGACCAGGUAUGAGUCAAUUCGAGCAUACCAGGCUCGAGGGGCCUGUUUUAGGCCAUACAAGGCCUUUCUUAGCCUAUACACCAAAUGUUCCUUACCAGGCAUUAUAAAACCUGGGGGUUGCUCGAUGUAUAUCUCCUCUUCUAAGAAUCCAUUGAGGAAUGCAGACUUGACAUCCAUUUGGUGGAUUGUCCACUGGUUCUGAGCAGCAACUGCAAUCAGCAAUCUGAUUGUAUCGAGUCUGGCUACUGGAGCAAAUGUUUCCAAGUAGUCCAGACCAUACCUUUGACUGAAGCCCUUCACAACUAGCCUGGCCUUUAGCUUGUUUAAACUUCCAUCUGCAUUGUGCUUCACUCGAUAGACCCAUUUUACACCAAUGGUCUUUCUGUUGGCAGGCUUUUUAACCAACUCCCAUGUCUGGUUCUUCACAAUCAUGUUGAUUUCAUCAACCAUUGCCUGUUUCCAGCCUUCAUCUGCUUCAGCUUCUUCAAAACUACUAGGUUCUGCUAUAGCAGCUUGUGCUCUUUCAUAAAUCUCAUCUAGGGGCCUUGUGCCUCUCACAGGCGCAUCAUCAACAUCCAUUUCAGGACCAAGGUGCUCGAGUUCAGCUUGCUUAGGCACCAGGUCUUCUGAAGUAGCUUCUGGUUUACUCUUUUCCCAAUUCCAGCAAGCCUUCUCAUCGAAGAUGACAUCUCUGCUCACUUGGACUUUGUUUGUCAAAGGAUCCAGCACCCUGUAGCCCUUCUUAACUGAGCUAUAGCCUAUAAGAACACCUGGUUGAGCCCUUUCAGAGAGCUUGUCUCUGUUUGCUGCUGGUUUUUGUGCAUAACACAGGCAACCAAACACUUUCAGAUGUGCCAAUGAAGGCUUGAAACCGAACCAAGCCUCGAAAGGUGUCUUGGAUGCAAGAGCUUUGGUAGGAAGCCUAUUUUGAAGGUAGACAGCAGUGUUUACUGCCUCAGCCCACAUGGUCUUGGGCAGUUUCUUCUCAAACAGCAGGCACCUGGCCAUAUCCAUCAAGCUUCUGUUCUUUCUUUCUGAUACCCCAUUCUGCUGAGGUGUGUAGACAUUUGUAAGCUGGUGUUUGAUACCAGCAUCAUUGCAAAUGGCUUGAAACUGAGCUGAAGUGUACUCAGUGCCAUUGUCUGACCUUAUCGAUUUCAGCUUGCAACCUGUUUCUGUCUCUACUGCAGUUUUAAACUUCACAAACACUUGAGCUACCUCAGACUUGUGUUUUAAGAAGAAAAUCCAGCAAAACCUUGUAAAAUCAUCAAUGAAGAGGAUGAAAUACCUGUUCUUGCUGAGUGAUUCAGUCCUCAUCGGGCCACAUACAUCAGAGUGCACCAGCUGCAGUCUUUCAAAAGCUCUCCAAGCUGAAUUUGUAGGAAAUGGCAGUCUUGCCUGUUUCCCUAUUUGGCAAACUUCACACACAUCAUCAUGCUUUACUGAGCUGGUAAAGUUUUCUGCCAAGCCCUCUUUGGCCAUUCGAGCCAGUGAUCUGAAGUUGGCAUGUCCGAGCCUUUGAUGCCAAAGCUUGGAAUCAUCAACAGAAGCUGUGUAUGCUAACUUUGAGUCAUUUGGCCAGUGCACCUCAAAGCAUUUGUCAGUCAUUUUGACUUUCAUAAGGCUUGAUCCACUUGGAUCAGCAAUCUGGCACUGUUUGUCCUUGAACACAACAGAAUAGCCUUUCUCGAGCAAUUGAGCUAUGCUGAGAAGGUUUCUGUCAAUCUCAGGCACCAAAAGCACAUUUGGAAUAAUCUUGUUACCUGUAGGAGUACUUAUCAGCACCUCUCCUCUUCCUUCAGCCCUUAUGAACUGACCAUUUCCAACCUUGACCUUGGUUUUGCAACUUCUAUCCAAGGUUUUAAACAAGGAGGCAUCUGGUGACAUGUGGUUAGUGCAACCACUGUCCAAUAACCAGCCUUUUGAGCAUUUCUUCUCAGCAGCUAAGCAAGACACAGCAAAGACCUGCUCUUCUUGGUCACUACUGUCCUCAGCUACCUGAGCUUCAACCUUUGGUUGUUGAAAUUGGCUCUGCCUUGGCUUGGUUCUAUUUUUGCAAACCCUUUCAACAUGGCCUUUCUUCUUGCAGUAUUGGCAUACUGCAUCUGGCCUGAACCAGCAUCUGCCUUCUGGAUGACCUGGCCUUUUGCAAUGUCUGCAGGGCUGGUCAUUGCUCCUUGCAGCAUCAGGCUUAGGUCUGCUUUUCCAAGGCUUUUUACCUCUAGGAGCAUUGAUGCUCGAGGCUUCUCUGGCCUUGACAUUGAAUGCACCUUCCUGGUUGUCUUCAGUUCUGCUAGCUCUUCUUUGUUCCUGAGCAUAGAAGGUGUUGAUUAGCUCAGUCAAAGAGAUGGUAGCAAGAUCUCUUGAGUCCUCUAGAGAGGAUAUCUUGGCCUCAUAUCUCUCAGGCAAAGUGGAGAGGACUUUCUCCACUAUCCUUGCCUCAUCAAAGUGCUCACCUAGGAGCCUUAUACUGUUAACCACUGCCAUGAUUCUGUCUGCAUACUGCUUCACUGUUUCUUCUUCCUUCAUUUUCAGGUUCUCGAAAUCCCUUCUCAAAUUCAACAGCUGUUGUUGCCUUGUUCUCUCAGUGCCUUGAAACUCCUCCUUAAGCUUAUCCCAGGCCUGUUUUGGAGUCUCACAGGCCAUGAUUAUGGUGAAGAUGACAUCUGACACACAGUUCUGGAUGCAGGACAUGGCUUUGUGCCUUUUGGUCCUCUCAUCAGCAUGUUGCCUGAUCUGAGCUACUGUGGGAUUAGCCCUCAGUGGUGCUGGCUCAGCAUCUGUGUUGACAACUUCCCACAGAUCGAAGGCCCGUAGGUAAGUCUUCAUCUUGACCAGCCAUAUGUGAAAGCCUUCUCCAUUGAAGACUGGUGGGGCUGCUGGUGAAAAUCCUGAAGAAGCCAUCAGGUUCCUUGGUUUGAAGCAACAGGUCCACUAAGACAAGGGCUCUAGAUACCAAUUGUUGGUGCAAGAGGCAGCAACAAGCUGAUUUCAGCUUGCUUAAACAGCAAGUCUCGAGGCUUGCAGCAGAAACAAUCAAGGAAGAAAAAAACUUACAAUGGAAAACAGAAAAGAAAGAGAGAGAUUUGAAUGAAAAUGAGCUGAAUUUUCAUUAACUUUUUUAAGAAGGCAUGAUGCCAAUACAUAUAAGGGAUUACAUUAGCAAAACAAACAAGUUACCACCUAAUAACUUACCUAACACCACUAAUUUGCCUAGUAACUUGGUAAACUUGUUUGAAUACAUAAACAGCUACCUAAACUUGUCAUUCAUCACUUAGUUACAUCAAAAUGCAGCUACCAACUAAGUUU